CUCUUGGAGGCCUUCUGCAAGCCCAGGAUAGGGGUCAGCUCUUCUUCUAAGAAGGAAGAACUGAUUUUCAGAUGUUAGGAAGGACAGGCAUGAGACAUCUUUGGAGCCAGAAUGGUAGCAGAACAGAACAGCAGCCACUGAUGGUCCUGUUUUAUGCUAUGGUGAAAACUGAUGUCACUGCCUUUUAAAAUCAGAACUUCUCUCCUGCAUCAACCAUUUAGAAAAUACUUUGUUUGGAAUCAAAGGCACCUAAUGACAUUACUGACAAAGGCAGAAAAACCUCCUGUGGGGCUGCUUUGUAUUUCCUAACCUGACUAAAACUGAUCUGGUCUCCCCUUUUUGUGGCACUGAGAUACAGCAUCAGUUUUUCCUUGGGCUGAAAACCAAAGGAUGAGGAAUCUGUGACUAGGCAGUAUGGGAUGGAUGCUUCACUGACCACUUUCCAGCCAAAGCAUCUGGUCACGUGAAUCAUCAGCAGUGUUUAUGACUAAAGAAACAAACAUCAGUACCGUACCAAUUUCAACUGCUGUUUAGCAGUUCUGAGGAGCAAGUCUCAUUGUCAAAUAAGAAUGAGGAAAAAAAAAGAGACAUUAUUUAAUUUUGACUGUUUUUAAUUGGUUUUAACAAAUGAUAAAAUAUUUCUAAAAUAAUAAUCUGACAACUGUUUAAAAUUCACUUGGCAAGAUCCUUUUAAAUUUACCCAUGACACAGUGAUUGCAUAUGUAUAUCAAACAGCUGCUUUCAUAUGCAGGUAAGCUGCUAUUGAAAACAGAUUUAAUCCUAACUGUUUAUGCCUGUUUUUGAUGAUAGUGCAGUAGAGUAUUGUGUUAUUUAAUAAUGCAUUCCAGCACCUGUUUAGAGAAGGUAUAUUCCACUAUGGUCCAAAAUGAAAACAGCCCCAUUACUUGUCGAGGUUUCAUUCAUAAUUCUUGUAUCAUGCUCUGAUUAGAGUAUACAUUGAACCUCAGAUGAGCAUUACCUAAGGCACAUUGAGUUAAAUGCACUGUAUAAACUAGGCACAAACCACAAAGCUACCUUUAACUUGCACUAAACAGUAAGUAGAAAUUGAUUAAAAUAUGCAUUCUACUAAUAUAAUGGCUGGUCUCAGUAUAGAAAUUAAUUAAUGCUAAUAGUACACAAUCAAAACUGCUUUUAGAAAUCUUCUUACAACAUUAACUAAAAUGUUCAUCUUUUUAAUGCAUUUGACUGAACCUCUGAGACUAAAGGCUUUGCUUUCUCCAUGCAAAUGUGAAAAAAAAUCACAGCCUGAAUUUUCAAGUGGUUAUUUUAUAGCAACCUCCCCCAGCCAUUUGCUUUUGGAUUUCUUGUUAACCUGAGCCUGGUCCCAGGCCAUGUGUGAGGUUGUACUAUUAGCUACUACAGAUUAAGGUGGCAGCCCUGGGAAUCGAGGCCAAUAACAUAUGCAGAUUGAGCCACAGAGCAGAGAAGGAGAUAACUAAAUGAAAAAAGGGGAAAGGGUAUUGUGUUUAAAGAGACAGCUCAGCUAUAUUCUAGGCUUUCAGCUCACAGUUGCUCUCAGCACAAUGUACGAAUAUUUGUCAAAAAAGACUCUAAGGUGCUCUCUUUCUAACUGUUCUGGUUUGCUUGUUGGAUUUUUUUUUUUUUUUUCAAUGGAAUAAAGCAUUUCACUUUACUGGCAUGAAUUUUCCUUAUCCAAUUUCAUUUCCAAAAUAUAAAACUUUAAAGAGCCACUGCUGUGAGCACAGUGAGGGUCUACCCCUGUAGUUCCCAUGGAUAUUGUU
ensembl:lncRNA